CCAGGCGGUGCAUACCACCUUGAUCACAUCUGAUCUUAUAUGAUCUUGGAAGAUAAGCAGGGUCAGGCCUGGUUAGUACUUGAAUGAGAGACUAGUGUAAUUUUAAUUGUCUGUU
rnacentral:rRNA from 1 species